rnacentral:rRNA from 1 species
CCUACGGGAGGCAGCAGUGGGGAAUAUUGGGCAAUGGACGCAAGUCUGACGCAGCAACGCCGCGUGAAGGAAGAAGGAUUUCGGGUUGUAAACUUCUAUUAAGGGGGAAGAGCAGAAGACGGUUACCCUUGAAUAAGCCACGGCUAACUACUUGCCAGCAGCCGCGGUAAUAAGUAGGGGGGAAGGGUUGUUCGGAUGUACUUGGUGUAAAGGGCGUGCAGCUGGAGAGAGAAGUCAUAUGUGAAAUCCACGAGCUCAACCUGGGAAUUGCAUAAGAAACUGUUUACCUAGAGUAUCGGAGAGGUAAUCGGAAUUCCUUGUGUAGCGGUGAAAUGCGUAGAUAUAAGGAAGAACACCAGUGGCGAAGGCGGAUUACUGGACGAUAACUGACGGUGAGGCUCGAAAGCGUGGGGAGCGAACAGGAUUAGAUACCCUUGUAGUC